UAACCCGGACAACAAUCACUUUUCAUAUCACAAACUAGGGUUUCAUAAAAUUCGCUCUAGCGUUCUUCUCUGCCGACCAUCAAACCUCUUCAAAUUAAUUCUCAAAUCAAGGGUUUCUCCAUCAUCGAUCAUUCAUCUGUCUUGAUAUAUCAAAUGUUUCAUUACCAAGGUUUUGAUCCUCUGUCGCAUGAUUCUUGGAGAGUGUGCACAGUGGUUUUAGUUUGACUUUCUUAGUUUUGACUUUUGGUGUAGAGGAAGGUCAAGAAUACAUUUGAAACUUUUUUAUAUAACUAAUGCAAAUAUUGCUAUCAGUUUAAUCUAUUUGUGUAUUUUAUUCUUUUAGUUAAUUUUGCAAAUUUUAUCAAUUGCCAGGUGUACGUAUUUAACUAAAUGAUAUAAACCGCUAAAGCAACAAGAAAAUAAAAGGUUGAACUAGAUAGAAGGGCAAUGCAGACCGUUUUAUUUGUUGUUAUAGGUGCCAAUUUACAUACUAAAAAAUACUCUAUGAAAAGGCAAGGGCUUGAACUUCUUGAAACAUGACCAGAGACGUUUGAUGGAGAUCACAAGAAACAAGUAUGGCUUCAAUGCAAAUAUGCAUCCCUGGUGGUUCACGGUGAAUGAGAUUUUGCAGGUCUUAAGAGGCUUUGCUUGCAAAGUAUAUGAUUGUCCCUUCUUCCUUUGAGACUUUGGGCAUAUCAUCCACCUGAACUUGAGGGAUGAACAUCUGCCAUAUAAGAAUUUUAUAGCCAAGGUAUGACUACAUGCAGUGGAAUGGACAGUCGUCCACUAAGAAUUUUGACAAGAUCCCGUUGGUUAUAUAACUAUAUAAGUGGCUUUAAGAUUUACAUGUGCAAUGUCUUAAAAACCUAAAGCUACAAAGAAGGCAUUUAUGGGACAAAGUAUUUGUGGCACCUUAUCAGAAAAGAGGAGCAUGAUGCUGAUGAUUAUGAAGUUGUACCAAGAGGGCAUGAGUUAUGGGAUGUCGUUGGGACCCAAGGGAGCCCACAAUAACGUAUAUCACAGUUGUAUAGUUACGGGAUUGAGAAGGGGUCAGGAAAUGGGUCAUCAGUAGCUAACGGAUCCCAUAACAGAACUGGUCUAGGAUUGACCAAGUUUCAAGGAACUGAAUGUGUGAUGAGAAGGUGUCUGGAACAAAAGAGGGUGCAAUUUAGUGUGAUAGAACCAUAAGGUGUUUACGAGAGAGCUCGAAGAAUUGAAAAUGCCGAGUAUGGCAUACGAACACAAUCCAUUGAGUUUGUAUUAUUACCAUGAUGUAGAAGGAUCCAACAGAUAAGCGCUAAGGUUACCAGAAUGUCGUGGGGAGAGCGAGUACAAUUCCUUUUCAACCUGAACUCAUAUGCAGUUGCUAAACUGCUUCUUAUUAGCAACUGUAUGGUAUGUAUAUGUAUACCCAAAUAACGCCAAGGUGGUUAGAUGGUCUUUUAUUUAUUUCUUAGUAGAUAGAUACGGGUUUGGUAAAUUGCUAUGCAUUUAAUUGCUUUUAUUUAAUUGUUACCAGAUACAUGGGUAUAAAGAAUGGAACGUUUCGUAUUUGUUAGAGACUUACUUUUUUAGUAUUCAUUUUUUAGUUCA